rnacentral:rRNA from 1 species
CCUACGGGUGGCAGCAGUAGGGAAUAUUGCUCAAUGGGGGAAACCCUGAAGCAGCAACGCCGCGUGGAGGAUGACACUUUUCGGAGCGUAAACUCCUUUUGUUAGGGAAGAACAAUGACGGUACCUAACGAAUAAGCACCGGCUAACUCCGUGCCAGCAGCCGCGGUAAUACGGAGGGUGCAAGCGUUACUCGGAAUCACUGGGCGUAAAGGACGCGUAGGCGGAUUAUCAAGUCUCUUGUGAAAUCCUAUGGCUUAACCAUAGAACUGCUUGGGAAACUGAUAAUCUAGAGUGAGGGAGAGGCAGAUGGAAUUGGUGGUGUAGGGGUAAAAUCCGUAGAGAUCACCAGGAAUACCCAUUGCGAAGGCGAUCUGCUGGAACUCAACUGACGCUAAUGCGUGAAAGCGUGGGGAGCAAACAGGAUUAGAUACCCUUGUAGU